rnacentral:rRNA from 1 species
UACGGGGGGGGCAAGCGUUGUUCGGAAUUACUGGGCGUAAAGGGCGCGUAGGCGGGGAGGUAAGUCGGGUGUGAAAUCCCUCGGCCCAACUGAGGAACUGCGCCCGAGACUGCUUCUCUUGAGUCCCGGAGAGGAAGAUGGAAUUCCCGGUGUAGCGGUGAAAUGUGUAGAGAUCGGGAGGAACACCGGUGGCGAAGGCGGUCUUCUGGACGGUGACUGACGCUGAGGCGCGAAAGCGUGGGGAGCAAACGGG